AGCAGGUGGCGGUGUGCGCCUUUUAUUGGGUUUCACUCCGUCAAUAAACAAAACGAAGAAGAAGCCGCUCGGCGACGCUGCAGUGAUGGACACUGGAUAUUUGGCGUAGUUAACAACGAGGGCUCUUCACCCAUCACUGCUCCGCUUUCAUCCUCAAACACGUCAUAGGAAAAGUAGGGAAUUAAAUCCCAGCCACAGAAGCAUCUGCUCUUAUUUGGGAUUGUCUGUCAGCUGUAAAUAGGACUCCACCACCUUCACGUCCACAAUGAGCGAGUUAACAGACUUUCACAGAGGUCAAAUCGUUGGUGCCCAGCUGUCAGGGCUGUCUGUCAGACAGACUGCUCAGUUAUGUGAUGUGUCGAGUCGAACUGUCCUCAAAGUCAUGAGUGUUUACAACAAACAAGAACACACCGGGCCAACCAAGAAGACCAAGCCCAAAACAAGACCAUUAAAAUCUGCAGCGAAUAGAAAAGCUGCCACUGAGAAACCAGCAUCUGAUUCUAAGGUCCAGACACAAAACUCUUCUGAGGAGAGCAAACCACCGGAAUCCCAGACCGCAGAGAAGGAGUAACGAGUUCUGGAGACUUUUGAUCACAUUUCAGCUGGUUAAUGGUUGCAUAAAGCCACAGUAUGCCUUCAUUUAUUGUUUAAGUUCAAGUUUCAGCUACAGUAGAUCUACAUUAUAAGCCUAUUAUUCCUAUUCUAAGAAGUUUAUAUUUACAGAUUUUUUUUCUUUACCUGGAAUAUGAGUUUCAAGCUCAAGUAAUUUUACUCAGUUUAAACAUGUGAAAUAUGUGUUUAUGUACAGCUGUCAAAUGUGAUGUCCUAUAGAACUCCAGCAUUUAAACAUGUAUACAAUAAAACCAUAAACUGUGUCAUCUAUAGAAGAAACAGAAAAAUGGGAUGGUAGAGAAAAAUAAGUGCUUAACAGUACUCAAUUUAAAUUGUGUUUUAAGUUGAUGACUAUAAUGUAAUAGAUUCGUUGAUUAUCAAUUACAUUAGUAAAUAGUAACAGACAAUUUUUUCUAAUUAAAGCCAGUAUUUGUUAAUUUGAAAAUAAAAGUAGGGUUGGGAAAAAUGCAGAGAUGUAAAGGUAUUAGUGAGAUGUUUACAUUCAUACAAAUGUGUUGUCAUUUUGUAUUUACAACAGUAGCAUUGGUUCCUAGAUGCUGUGUGGUUUUCCACAAAAGUUUUUCAUUUUGUGGUUUACAUGUAGAUAUUGUGAUGUUUAUGUAAACUGUUGAGAAUUUGUCUCGAUAUUUUCUAAUAUUUAUGCUGAAUAUUUAGGAAACAAUAAAUAGAGCAGUGUAUUAUUAGUUCAGUAAAAAACACAUAAUAGUGUACACACAAUAAAAUGUUUAAAAUUCAA